rnacentral:rRNA from 1 species
UACGUAGGGGCAAGCGUUGUCCGGAUUUAUUGGGCGUAAAGAGCGUGUAGGCGGUUUGGUAGGUCCGCUGUGAAAACUCGAGGCUCAACCUCGAGACGCCGGUGGAAACCAUCAGGCUAGAGUCCGGAAGAGGAGAGUGGAAUUCCUGGUGUAGAGGUGAAAUUCGUAGAUAUUCGGAGGAACACCAGUGGCGAAGGCGGCUCACUGGUCCAUUACUGACGCUGAGG